AUUGAACGCUGGCGGCAGGCUUAACACAUGCAAGUCGAGCGGAGAGAGGUAGCUUGCUACUGAUCUUAGCGGCGGACGGGUGAGUAAUGCUUAGGAAUCUGCCUAUUAGUGGGGGACAACAUUUCGAAAGGAAUGCUAAUACCGCAUACGUCCUACGGGAGAAAGCAGGGGACCUUCGGACCUUGCGCUAAUAGAUGAGCCUAAGUCGGAUUAGCUAGUUGGUGGGGUAAAGGCCUACCAAGGCGACGAUCUGUAGCGGGUCUGAGAGGAUGAUCAGCCACACUGGGACUGAGACACGGCCCAGACUCCUACGUGAGGCAGCAGUGGGGAAUAUUGGACAAUGGGCGCAAGCCUGAUCCAGCCAUGCCGCGUGUGUGAAGAAGGCCUUAUGGUUGUAAAUCACUUUAAGCGAGGAGGAGGCUACUUUAGUUAAUACCUAGAGAUAGUGGACGUUACUCGCAGAAUAAGCACCGGCUAACUCUGUGCCAGCCGCCGCGGUAACAC
rnacentral:rRNA from 1 species